CAGCAGUCGCCGCGGUAAUACAGAGGGUGCGAGCGUUAAUCGGAUUUACUGGGCGUAAAGCGUGCGUAGGCGGCUUCUUAAGUCGGAUGUGAAAUCCCUGAGCUUAACUUAGGAAUUGCAUUCGAUACUGGGAAGCUAGAGUAUGGGAGAGGAUGGUAGAAUUCCAGGUGUAGCGGUGAAAUGCGUAGAGAUCUGGAGGAAUACCGAUGGCGAAGGCAGCCAUCUGGCCUAAUACUGACGCUGAGGUACGAAAGCAUGGGGAGCAAACAGGAUUAGAUACCCCAGUAGUCCCUGUCUCUUAUCC
rnacentral:rRNA from 1 species